CCUACGGGGGGCAGCAGUGAGGAAUAUUUGUCAAUGGACGCAAGCCUGAACCAGCCAUGCCGCGUGCAGGAAGACGGCUCUAUGAGUUGUAAACUGCUUUUGUACGAGAGUAAACGCAGAUACGCGUAUCUGUCUGAAAGUAUAGUACGAAUAAGGAUCGGCUAACUCCGUGCCAGCAGCCGCGGUAAUACGGAGGAUUCAAGCGUUAUCCGGAUUUAUUGGGUUUAAAGGGUGCGUAGGCGGUCGGAUAAGUUAGAGGUGAAAUCCCGAGGCUGAACUUAGGAACUGCCUUUGAUACUGUUCGGCUAGAGAGUAGUUGAGGUAGGCGGAAUGUAUGGUGUAGCGGUGAAAUGCUUAGAGAGCAUACAGAACACCGAUUGCGAAGGCAGCUUACCAAGCUAUUUCUGACGUUGAGGCACGAAAGCGUGGGGAGCAAACAGGAUUAGAUACCCUUGUAGUC
rnacentral:rRNA from 1 species